rnacentral:lncRNA from 1 species
UUAUAGGGCCAAACAGGAAGUCCCGCCCCUUAUAGGGCCAGACAGGAAGUCCCGCCCCUUAUAGGGCCAAACAGGAAGUCCCGCCCCUUAUAGGGUGAAACAAACAGGAAGUCCCGCCCCUUAUAGGGCGAAACAAACAGGAAGUCCCGCCCCUUAUAGGGCCAAACAGGAAGUCCCGCCCCUUAUAGGGUGAAACAGGAAGUCCCGCCUCUUAUAGGGCCAAACAGGAAGUCCCGCCUCUUAUAGGGCACAACAGGAAGUCCCGCCCCUUAUAGGGCCAAAAACAGGAAGUCCCGCCCCUUAUAGGGCCAAACAAACAGGAAGUCCCGCCCCUUAUAGGGCCAAACAGGAAGUCCCGCCCCUUAUAGGGCCAAACAGGAAGUCCCGCCCCUUAUAGGGCACCCCGGCGGCCAUGACACCUCCCUGGUGCAUUAUGGGCCGCUUCCUCUCUCCCCAGGGCCGGCGUGGGGGACCCCCCCCCCCAAUAUCCCCCCUAUUGAUUCCCCCCCAUUGACCCCCCCACCCCAUAAUAUUCCCCUAUCAGACGAUGACCUCAACCCUACUGAUCACACAGCUCAGCUGCCUUCACCUGUGCUCCUGACGCUGACACAUUGCAGCCCCACAUCCCCCUCUGCCCCCCCCCCACCCCCCCAUUUGCUUUGCAGGAGCCGCGGGGGCGGAGCCAGGAUGGCGGUGGGGGCGGGGCCGGCACGAGAACACGCAUUACAUGCUAAGAACACGCCAAGAACACGCCAAGCACACACCAAGCACAUAUUAAGCACACACCAAGAACAUGUUACACACGUUAGGGACGUGUUAAGUACACACCAAGCACACGUUACACACACGCUAAGAACACACCAAGCACACACCAUACACAUGCUAAGAACACGUCAAGCACAUGCUAAGCACAUGUUAAGCACACACCAAGCAAACACAAUACACAUGCUAAGCACACACUAAGCACAUAUUAAGCACACACCAAGCACAUGUUACACACAUUUUAAGCAUGCACCAAGCACAUGUUAAGAACACGCCAAGCACAUGUUAAGCACACACCAAGCACAUGUUAAGCACACACCAAGCACACACCAUACACAUGCUAAGCACACACCAAGUACAUGUUACACACAUGUUAAGGACAUGUUAAGCACACGCCAUACAUAUGCUAAGCACACACCAAGCACA